rnacentral:rRNA from 1 species
UACAUGGGGGGCAAGCGUUGUUCGGAAUUACUGGGCAUAAAGGGUGCGUAGGUGGGCAGGUAAGUCAGUGGUGAAAUCUCCGGGCUUAACCCGGAAACUGCCAUUGAUACUAUCUGUCUUGAAUACCGUGGAGGUGAGCGGAAUAUGUCAUGUAGCGGUGAAAUGCUUAGAUAUGACAUAGAACACCAAUUGCGAAGGCAGCUCACCACACGAAUAUUGACACUGAGGCACGAAAGCGUGGGGAGCAAACAGG